rnacentral:rRNA from 1 species
CCUACGGGAGGCAGCAGUGAGGAAUAUUGGUCAAUGGACGCAAGUCUGAACCAGCCAUGCCGCGUGCAGGAAGACGGCUCUAUGAGUUGUAAACUGCUUUUGUACGAGGGUAAACGCAGAUACGCGUAUCUGUCUGAAAGUAUCGUACGAAUAAGGAUCGGCUAACUCCGUGCCAGCAGCCGCGGUAAUACGGAGGAUUCAAGCGUUAUCCGGAUUUAUUGGGUUUAAAGGGUGCGUAGGCGGUCGGAUAAGUUAGAGGUGAAAUCCCGAGGCUCAACUUCGGAAUUGCCUCUGAUACUGUUCGGCGAGAGAGUAGUUGCGGUAGGCGGAAUGUAUGGUGUAGCGGUGAAAUGCUUAGAGAUCAUACAGAACACCGAUUGCGAAGGCAGCUUACCAAGCUACUUCUGACGUUGAGGCACGAAAGCGUGGGGAGCAAACAGGAUUAGAUACCCCAGUAGUG